AAUGAUCAAUAGCUGAUUUGAGAGGAUGAUCAGCCACAUUGGGACUGAGACACGGCCCAAACUCCUACGGGAGGCAGCAGUAGGGAAUCUUGCACAAUGGGGGAAACCCUGAUGCAGCGAUGCCGCGUGAGUGAAGAAGGCCUUUGGGUUGUAAAGCUCUUUCGUCGGGGAAGAAAAUGACUGUACCCGAAUAAGAAGGUCCGGCUAACUUCGUGCCAGCAGCCGCGGUAAUACGAAGGGACCUAGCGUAGUUCGGAAUUACUGGGCUUAAAGAGUUCGUAGGUGGUUAAAAAAGUUGGUGGUGAAAUCCCAGAGCUUAACUCUGGAACUGCCAUCAAAACUUUUUAGCUAGAGUAUGAUAGAGGAAAGCAGAAUUUCUAGUGUAGAGGUGAAAUUCGUAGAUAUUAGAAAGAAUACCAAUUGCGAAGGCAGCUUUCUGGAUCAUUACUGACACUGAGGAACGAAAGCAUGGGUAGCGAAGAGGAUUAGAUACCCUCGUAGUCCAUGCCGUAAACGAUGUGUGUUAGACGUUGGAAAUUUAUUUUCUGUGUCGCAGCGAAAGCAAUAAACACACCGCCUGGGGAGUACGACCGCAAGGUUAAAACUCAAAUGAAUUGACGGGGACCCGCACAAGUAGUGGAGCAUGUGGUUUAAUUCGAAGAUACGCGCAGAACCUUACCAACACUUGACAUGUUCGUCGCGACUUUAAGAGAUUAAAGUUUUCGGUUCGGCCGGACGAAACACAGGUGCUGCAUGGCUGUCGUCAGCUCGUGUCGUGAGAUGUUGGGUUAAGUCCCGCAACGAGCGCAACCCUCACUUUUAGUUGCCAUCAUUUAGUUGGGCACUCUGAAAGAACUGCCAGUGAUAAGCUGGAGGAAGGUGGGGAUGACGUCAAGUCCUCAUGGCCCUUACGUGUUGGGCUACA
rnacentral:rRNA from 1 species